UACGAAGGGGGCUAGCGUUGCUCGGAAUCACUGGGCGUAAAGCGCACGUAGGCGGAUUGUUAAGUCAGGGGUGAAAUCCUGGAGCUCAACUCCAGAACUGCCUUUGAUACUGGCGAUCUUGAGUCCGGGAGAGGUGAGUGGAACUGCGAGUGUAGAGGUGAAAUUCGUAGAUAUUCGCAAGAACACCAGUGGCGAAGGCGGCUCACUGGCCCGGUACUGACGCUCAUGCACGAAAGCGUGGGGAGCAAACAGG
rnacentral:rRNA from 1 species